GAUGAACGCUAGCGGCAGGCCUAACACAUGCAAGUCGAGGGAGAAGCCCUUUCGGGGGCAGAAACCGGCGCACGGGUUCGUAACGCGUAUGCAACCUACCUUUCACCGGGGGAUAGCCCGAAGAUAUUUGGAUUAAUCCCCCAUAAUAUUAUUGGAUGGCAUCAUUUGAUAAUUAAAACUUCGGUGGUGAUAGAUGGGCAUGCGUCCUAUUAGCUAGUUGGAGUGGUAACGGCACCCCAAGGCUACGAUAGGUAGGGGUCCUGAGAGGGAGAUCCCCCACACUGGUACUGAGACAGGGACCAGACUGCGACGGGAGGGAGCAGUGAGGAAGAUUGGGGAAUGGUGGGAAGACUGAACCAGCCAUGCCGCGGGAAGGAAGAAUGCGUUAGGGGUUGUAAACUGCUUGUAUAGGGGAGGAAUAAGGUGUACGUGUACAGUGAUGACGGUACCAUAUGAAUAAGCAUCGGCUAACUCCGUG
rnacentral:rRNA from 1 species